GAGAUACUGGGGUGCAAAGGAGCGGAAAAAAAUAACAGUAUGGGGAUGAGGUAGAUUGGAUGGGCUAUUUACAGGUGCAGUGAUCUGUGAGCUGCUCCGAAAGCUGGUGCCAGCCACCACCCCACAACUUUAGAGGAGGAACCACUGUAGGUCCAUCAGUUUUAUCUGGUAGAUAAAUGCCUCAGCCACCACCCCACAACUUUAGAGGAGGAACCACUGUAGGUCCAUCAGUUUUAUCUGGUAGAUAAAUGCCUCAGCCACCAUCCCACAACUUUAGAGGAAGAACCACUGUAGGUCCAUCAGUUUUAUCUGGUAGAUAAAUGCCUCAGCCACCACCCCACAACUUUAGAGGAGGAACCACUGUAGAUCCAUCAGUUUUAUCUGGUAGAUAAAUGCCUCAGCCACCGCACCAGAACUUUAGAGGAGGAACCACUGUAGGUCCAUCAGUUUAUCUGGUAGAUAAAUGCCUCAGCCACCACCCAGAACUUUAGAGGAGGAACCACUGUAAGUCCAUCAGUUUAUCUGGUAGAUAAAUGCCUCAGCCACCACCCCACAACUUUUGAGCGAAGAAACGCCCAGUCCAGCUCUAUCUGCC
ensembl:lncRNA